rfam:Micromonospora sp. NRRL B-16802 P440contig37.1, whole genome shotgun sequence.
AGCGCCACCGGGUCGACGGCCCGGGUGACGGUCAGGUAGUCGCGGAUGGCGGUGCCGUGGCGGCCCUC